rnacentral:rRNA from 1 species
AUUGAACGCUGGCGGCAGGCCUAACACAUGCAAGUCGAACGAGUUGCUGACGGGUGAGUAAUGUCUGGGAAACUGCCCGAUGGAGGGGGAUAACUACUGGAAACGGUAGCUAAUACCGCAUACCAUCGGAUGUGCCCAGAUGGGAUUAGCUAGUAGGUGGGGUAAUGGGUCACCUAGGCGACGAUCCCUAGCUGGUCUGAGAGGAGGACUAGCCACACGGGAACUGAGACACGGUCCAGACUCCUACGGGAGGCAGCAGUGGGGAAUAUUGCACAAUGGGCGCAAGCGUGAUGCAGCCAUGCCGCGUGUAUGAAGAAGGCCUUCGGGUUGGAAAGUACUUUAAGCGAGGAGGCGUUACUCGCAGAAGAAGCACCGGCUAACUCCGUGCCAGCCGCCGCGGUAAUAC